AAUAAAGCGGAGCGCGCGACGAGAUGCGCGUUUAACAGCACGCUUAAUUUCCAUGCAUCUGUAUCUCCAUCCACACUAUUGCGCGGAUCAGAGCCGUGUGUUGUAGCUGAUUUACACGCUCGGGGUUUUGACACGGAUACGCAGCAGAAACCCUGAAGGAUCAGCUGACACAUCAACGCGGCGUUACAGACGCAGGUGUGCGGGCGCUGGCGUUCACACAUGCGACGCGAACAACAGAACACAAUGAUGUUGAGAUGUUUUAUUUAUUUGAACUAUGUAGUCUUUUUAGCUUACACGCCGUUUUAAAACGCAAUGCAACGGCCAAAGACGCCCGGAUGAUGCUUUUGUUUACACCAGCACUUAAACGACAGCAAUAAUGCUCUAACUCCAGCGUUUUCAACGUACUUACAGCAACCAUGGCACGUUCUUUAUGAUUGACAGAUCUAGUACUGUGGCUUUCCUUCUAUACGAAACAUCAGGUGUUUUAAAGUCAUGUGCACGAACACAGAAAAAAGAACAAGCACACAGGUAAAUGUUGCAGUUGCAUCCUGAGUAUUUAUUGUUAUCGUCUUGUACCUGCAUUUCUGCAAAGAUGCUGGAAACCCAUCAUAGUAUUUUGCAUAGGUCUCUGAUGCCCAUGUCAUGUGGAUGAAACAGUCGGCACAUCAUGAAAACCAUGCAGAACAGUGAAAGGCACAAUCACCGUAGAUAUCAUAUUCCGAUCAUUUUUAAUACUCUAUUUAUAUUUUGUUACUAAGGUGAACAUCUCUUCUAAUAACAACAUGAGGAAAAAAUACAAGCAUAUUUAUUUGUGUUGUCUUUUCUCAUUUCAUGUUUUCAGUCAAGCCUCCCUUAAAUCACAAAUAACUAUCGCUUCCACCAGCCUCUCAUGAGGCCUAACGGACAUCAUUCUAGUCCCACAAAUGAAAUGAAUCAUAUUGAACACACACACACACACACAGAUAACACAGAGUAUACAGUAACCAGGUGUUACCCUGAACAGCAGUGGCGGAUCUGUUCAGAGGGCAGAGAUCACUGAUUUCAUAUUCAUGCCUUGUCCACUUCAUCUAACAUGUAGAAACAAUGCAAAUAGAAGACGACCUUCAAGUGGACGAUGUUAAGGACCCUUGUAAGGCUGCAGGGCAUUGAAUUUACCUAGAUACACCACUGACAUUCGUACUGCACUCUCUGUGGAGUCAAUAUAAUGUAGAAACAGCCAGUUUCAAAUGAAAACAAAGAAAUAAAAGCAUAUUUAGAUUUACAUUAUACUUACAUUAUUUUGUUAAUAGAUCGCUUUAGAUAGCCUACUAUAUUAAUAGAUUUUGGCAGGUGAUAGGAAAGUCUACAAGAAGAACUCUUAAAAUGAUUCAACAUUAAACUGAGAGAAGAAAUAAAAGAAAACUGCAUGUAAAAUCAAAUCCCCUCAAUGCAAAACAGCUCAAUGGUGGUAUUGACAACAUGGCAAACGUUGGUUCCUAUCAUAAAAUACCCAGUAGAAUGAAGUGUACUCAAGUUUUUGGAACAACAUACGGUUAAACGAUACCAUGAAAACAGGAAGGUGAUGUUUCAAAAUGAAAAUAACGCAAACACUGUAAAUAGUUUGCAAUUAUAUACAUGUGAAUGCAACUAAUUGUUUACCUCUUAAGGUAGCUUUUUUCCCCCAACUCAUGCAUGUUGGCAUCUCACUCACCAUUGCAAACGAAAACAGCAUACUGCUAAACACCAUGAUCCUCCAUAAAACGUAAGACAGUGCAAACUUCUCAAAGUCUCAAAAAUGUACAAACAGUCAUAUAAUUAUAUACUUUCAGCACCGUAGUUAGUCUACUCAUUACUGAAUACACAUAAGAAAGAUGGUGGACGCAUUUCCUGUAAAUGUGCCGAGAGUAUUCGCUCACUAUCAAGAAAGAGCACAUUUUAGGAUUUGACGUAUGCGUUAGUGUGAGUGCAUGUGUGCUGGGUCUGUCACAAGAGAGACGAUGAACCUCUGAUGGACAGACAUCAGAAUACAA